CAGCCGCCGCGGGAAAACGGAGGGUGCAAGCGUUAAUCGGAAUUACUGGGCGUAAAGCGCACGCAGGCGGUCUGACAAGUCAGAUGUGAAAUCCCCGGGCUUAACCUGGGAACUGCAUUUGAAACUGUCAGGCUGGAGUCUUGUAGAGGGGGGUGGAAUUCCAGGUGUAGCGGUGAAAUGCGUAGAGAUCUGGAGGAAUACCGGUGGCGAAGGCGGCCCCCUGGACAAAGACUGACGCUCAGGUGCGAAAGCGUGGGGAGCAAACAGGAUUAGAUACCCGCGUAGUCCCUGUCUCUUAUAC
rnacentral:rRNA from 1 species